rnacentral:misc_RNA from 1 species
GAGUUUUAUGCCCUAACGGGUAGACCUCCACCCUUGAAGAUAUACAAUUGUUGCUUUGGCGGGUCGCUUCGGCUACCCUUUGGGUAUGUGCCCGCCAGAGGAGUUAAAUUCUGAAUUAAAGUGUCGUCUGAGUACUAUACAAUAGUUAAAACUUUCAACAACGGAUCUCUUGGUUCU